rnacentral:tRNA from 2 species
GCAGAUUAGUGCAAUGAAUUUAAGAUUCAUAUAUAAAUAGAAUUAUUUUUCUAGAA